rfam:Bombyx mori DNA, contig: Bm_scaf1220_contig45535, strain: p50T/Dazao, build 2, whole genome shotgun sequence.
UUAACUCAAAUUUGUAUGGAGUUGGAACUUUUGCCUACGUUUGCCGGUGGGGGCAUUGUUCGAACUGCAUACAUAUUUGAGUUA